GACGAACGCUGGCGGCGUGCUUAACACAUGCAAGUCGAACGGAAAGGCCCUGCUUUUGUGGGGUGCUCGAUUGGCGAACGGGUGAGUAACACGUGAGUAACCUGCCCUUGACUUUGGGAUAACUUCAGGAAACUGGGGCUAAUACCGGAUAGGAGCUCCUGCUGCAUGGUGGGGGUUGGAAAGUUUCGGCGGUUGGGGAUGGACUCGCGGCUUAUCAGCUUGUUGGUGGGGUAGUGGCUUACCAAGGCUUUGACGGGUAGCCGGCCUGAGAGGGUGACCGGCCACAAUGGGACUGAGAUACGGCCCAGACUCCUACGGGAGGCAGCAGUGGGGAAUAUUGCACAGUGGGCGGAAGCCUGAUGCAGCAACGCCGCGUGCGGGAUGACGGCCUUCGGGUUGUAAACCGCUUUCGCCUGUGACGAAGCGUGAGUGACGGUAAUGGGUAAAGAAGCACCGGCUAACUACGUG
rnacentral:rRNA from 1 species